GACGGGGCUGUGUAGCAGAGCGCCCAGCUGGACGAAUCUCCCAGCCAGUUGGGGAGCCCCUCUGAGGGUCAUUCCUGCGGAUGUGGCCGUCGGGAGGACCAGCCCGUUUGCAGACCAAGCUUUUGCUUCCUCUCAUCCCUCCUGAGGAAGACCCUGGGAAAGGAAUGCUCUUCCUGCGGGCCCUUCCUCAGACACCAGGCAAACGGGUGAAGGUGCAGAGGUCGGCGAGUGUCCAGAGCAAGCCCACGGCCCACACAGACACUGGGAUUCUGCCUGUAGCUUCAGGCCCUCACCUCCUGACACUCUAGGGGCGCCAGGACCCCAGGCUAAAAGCCCAGCUCCGAGGUCGAAUACUCAGAGCACCCAGCACUGGAUACUCAGUGUCAGAUGAGUGAACAAGCAAAUGGCUGAUGUCUGGUUUCAAUGUUUGCCUACGAGGAGAUGUACUCCGCUCCCAGCUCUUAGCCUCACCAUGCAGUGGAAGGGAAGGAGGCUUCUGAACUGGCAGCUCUACAUUCUUCCCCUCUCUGUGCAACUUGUUUAGAUCACAGAACUGGAAGGGACCCCAAAAAUCCCAUUCUCCCACCCCUCCGAUUAGAGAGGAAGAAACAGAGGCCCAGACUCAACAGACUUGCCAAAACCCAUGGACCUGGUUGGGGGCCCACAUCUAGCACUUUCCCCAGCCUCACAGCCUGCCUUGUUUAUUUGUUCAGCAGUUUUUGUUUCGCCAUGGCACAGCUUGUUCCGACUCUGGAACAUUUAUGAGAUGAGCCAAUUUUUAAAAAUCAUAGAAAAUAAAUGGUUUGCUCUUGGAGCUGAAGGGCGGGGCAGCCAGGGUGGGAGACAGGUUCCAGGCCAGUUCUGGGGCAGAAUUUUGGCUUAUCCUUUGCUGUGUUUUUUUAUUCUCCUGCCUUGGGAACCAAAAGGAUUUCAGUGGGAUUUCCUGCCUCGAUUUCUCCAGUACUAUGAUAUGGAAAGACUAGAACAUUCAACCAUACACUUUCUGAUUCUCACCUCCACCAUCAUUAGUUCCAUUCCAAACUCUGGCUCCUACCCAUUGAGUUCAAGCUACAGCCUGAUUCAACUGAUCAACCUGGGGAUGGUGGUGUCAGGACUAGCACCUGGACCAUUCUGCCUCCUCUGCCUGCAACAUCCUCUCUAUCUGCUUGUGAACUCUUCUCCUUCAAAACCCAGCGGUUACGUCACCACUUCUAAAACCUUGAACUGAUUCCCCACGUAGUCGGCCAGCUACUUUUUAAAUUUAAAAAAGCCCAACCAGAAUAAACAGGAUAGCUAAAAUGCUGAAUUUCUUUGCUUUUUUUUGACUGGAUAUUAACUCAGUGUACUAAUGUUAGCUAUUAUCUUGUGUUAUUUGAUCAUAAUUUAUUUGCAGAUAUGUAAAUAUGUGAUUACCAAAAACUUGUAAAUGAAUACUUGCUAAAUUCAA
rnacentral:lncRNA from 1 species